CCCUCUUCCUUAACUCUAAAUUAAACAAGUUAUAUUACAUUAGAAACCCAACAACAAAUUAAGUAGCUCCAAACCCACGUAUCUAUCCAAUAUAUGUGUCAAAUACCGAAUCACAAAGUUAGACUUAUCUACACAAUUAUCUCUAACAUCUAAGAAAAAAAGCUACUAAGAAUAAGAUAGCCAUUAGAAAAAAUUUCUCAACCCAUUUCAUUGUACAUAUAUUGUAAAAACUGAAGACCUCAACCAAAAAUGCUAGGUAGAAUGUAUUUUUUGGGUUCUUUAGUCCUUUAUAAGCACCCA
rnacentral:lncRNA from 1 species